rnacentral:rRNA from 1 species
GACAGAGGAUGCAAGCGUUAUCCGGAAUGAUUGGGCGUAAAGCGUCUGUAGGUGGCCUUUCAAGUCCGCCGUCAAAUCCCAGGGCUCAACCCUGGACAGGCGGUGGAAACUGCCAAGCUGGAGUACGGUAGGGGCAGAGGGAAUUUACGGUGUAGCAGUGAAAUGCGUAGAGAUCGUAAGGAAGACCAGUGGCGAAGGCGGGUCUCUGGACAGUUCCUGACACUGAGGCACGAAGGCCAGGGGAGCAAACGGG